CACUGAGGUCUGGGAAUGGAGCUGACCAGAAGCUUGCUGGAGAGAUGGAGUUUCACCUGUGUUAGCCAGGAUGGUCUCGAUCUCUUGACCUUACGACCUGCCCGCCUCGGCCUCCGAAAGUGCUGGGAUUACAGGCGUGAGCCACUGCGCCUGGCCCUCUCUCUUCUUUAAAACUAAUUUUUAAUUUUAUCAAAGUGAUAUAUACACACAGUUUAAAAGACCACUUUCUCUUAAGGCCUUUCCCGGGUCAGGGAUAGGGAGAUUCCCUGAGCCUUAGCUGCCUCUCUUCUGAAAUGGAGGUGACCAUCCACCGGCCCACCUGUACCUCACUGGGUGGAUUUGAGACUCACAGGAACCAAAGGAUAUGGAGAGUCUUUGCAAAUUACACAGACUAGAGUGAUCAACUCUCCUAGUAUGGAUGGGACUUCUCUGGUUUUAGCACUGAAAGUCUAGUGUCUUGGGAAGCUGCUUGGUCUUGGGCAAACCAGGAUGGUUGGUUACUUUACUGGCUCUGACAAGACUGCCUCUUACCUUUGACUAUAACUACACCUAUGAACUUUUUUGGAAAGGGAUGGGGGAAUACAUUCAUUAAUAAACACAUGUUUUACUGAGAUUGUUUCCUCCAAGGCCACUAAUGUACUAAUCUGUUUCUUAUGUUCUUUGCAAAGCAUUAGAUGUUUUUUAGAGAUGCACAGAAAAUAUCAACAACAAGAAAAACCACCCACAAUCUCAUCCACCUAGAGACAUCUGUUACCUGAGGAUAUAACUAUUUUCUAAUUGCCAAUUCAAAUAAUUAUUAUUUUUAUUUUUAUCAAAGUUAUGCAUGCUCAUACAUCUUUGAAUUUUCUUUUUUCUGUUUCUUGGUUGAUUUGGUUUGGUUUUGUCUUUCAAGCUGGAGGUGUUAAAUUAGAUUAAAUUUGGCCUUAAGCUGCCUCCUUACAUAGUGAACUGAAACCCAACUUAAUAUGUAAACAAACCUAACAUGAGAGUUUCUUGUAACAAGUAGCUGAGUCUCAGCCAAUCAUUGCAACUGAGCUUUCAGCCAAUCGCAGACUGCAAAGUGCUUAGACCUGUCCAGAUAAAGCAAAUGCCGAGUUCUAAAUAGGCUAUUUCUAUGUGUCACUUUUUUUCUCUCUGUAAGUACUACUUGACCACAUGGUUAGGUGGAGUUCUU
rnacentral:lncRNA from 1 species